rnacentral:piRNA from 1 species
GGCAAUGUAAUAGCCCAGGAAACAAGCA